rnacentral:lncRNA from 1 species
AAAUGUGCUUCUAGAUGUCUGCUACCAUGAAAGAGUUCCCUAAUGGAAGACACCAGACACAGAAGUCAAAAUUACUAAGACCACAUAAGCCAAGGAAAUUGUAUGUGCAGACUAAUAUGUUUUCAGGGAAAGGUGUAAUUAAGUGUUCAAGAGACAACAGAAGUAGUGCUUACUGUGCCCUGGGAAGCAACAGGAGAGAAGAGAAAAAGAGGAAGCUAAAGGAUGGAGAAGGGAAAGGGAGGAAGAAAACCUUUAAAGAGGACCUGCUGCCAGUGAUACCCUCCAUGGUCAGGCGCCACCCUAUCUUGCCAGGGCUUAGCACAGUGCCUGACACAAAGGAAUCACUGGAGGAUUGAUGGAUUCACCUUUUAUUAUUGUGUAUUUGUUAUUUGCAUGUGUUAUGUGCUCCUCCUCCAUGAAGACACAGGCAAAAUCUGUGAUAUAAGUUUUCUAUCUCCCCAUCGCUUCAAAAUAAACAUUUAUUAAGCACAGUCUAUUUGCA